GAUGAACGCUGGCGCCGUGCCUAACACAUGCAAGUCGAACGGACAUUUUUUGGAAAGCUCUUCGGAACUGGAAUCUAAAUGUUAGUGGCGGACGGGUGAGUAACGCGUGAGCAAUCUGCCUUUCAGAGGGGGAUAACAGCCGGAAACGGCUGCUAAUACCGCAUAAUGCAUUGGAUUCGCAUGUUUCUGAUGCCAAAGAUUUUAUCGCUGAAAGAUGAGCUCGCGUCUGAUUAGCUAGUUGGCGGGGUAACGGCCCACCAAGGCGACGAUCAGUAGCCGGACUGAGAGGUUGAACGGCCACAUUGGGACUGAGACACGGCCCAGACUCCUACGGGAGGCAGCAGUGGGGAAUAUUGCGCAAUGGGGGCAACCCUGACGCAGCAACGCCGCGUGAUUGAUGAAGGUCUUCGGAUUGUAAAAAUCUUUAAUCAGGGACGAAGAAAAUGACGGUACCUGAAGAAUAAGCUCCGGCUAACUACGUGCCAGCAGCCGCGGUAAUACGUAGGGAGCAAGCGUUAUCCGGAUUUACUGGGUGUAAAGGGCGUGUAGGCGGGCUUGCAAGUUGGAAGUGAAAUCUCGGGGCUUAACCCCGAAACUGCUUUCAAAACUGCGAGUCUUGAGUGAUGGAGAGGCAGGCGGAAUUCCCAGUGUAGCGGUGAAAUGCGUAGAUAUUGGGAGGAACACCAGUGGCGAAGGCGGCCUGCUGGACAUUAACUGACGCUGAGGCGCGAAAGCGUGGGGAGCAAACAGG
rnacentral:rRNA from 1 species